rnacentral:lncRNA from 1 species
AACUCUAAUAAGAGUGUUUUAUUCAAGCUUAUGGUUAAUCAUUGCUGAUUGCCAUGAAAAUUGUACUCUAUACAUCUUGCAUGUAUAAGUCAGGUAUGAAAGGCUAAUCACCUUCAGUACCAGUUGGUUCAGAAAUGUUUGUUCAUGUUUAAAACUUGUUCAGUCAAAAGUUUGUUCGUGCUAGUUCUCAAUUAUAUUGAUGAAUUAUAGCCAACUUAUUAUU